rnacentral:tRNA from 28 species
GGAUGGUUAGCUCAGCUGGGAGAGCACCGCCCUUACAAGGCGGGGGUCACUGGUUCGAACCCAGUACCAUCCACCA